GCUGGCACUCACAACCCGGAGAUCAAGAGUUGUGUGCCCUACCGACUAAGCCCACCCGAUGCCCCAAUCUAGUUCUUAAUUAAAAAGGCAACAGGCUGCGAUCAAUGUUUCCAAGAGGCUUUAACAAUCAGAGGCGACCUGUCACCGCUUCCCGUCUGAUGUCUCCGCAGAGCGGCCACACAUGUUCAGGGGAGCGUCCAUGUGUACUCAGAGUGUACUCAGAGUGGUACUCAGAGUGGUACAGGGUAGGGAGACCUCGAGGCAGGAAGGAGGAACUGUCUUCGCCCUCAGAGUCCUUCCUAUGGGGUCAGGGCCAAGAGAGCGACGCACUCAGAUAAGCUAACGGUGACAAUGCAAAUAACAAAAACAUGAAAACCUUAAAUUUCCACAUGGCUUUUCCCAAACACUAUUUCAUUUGGUAAGUAGGUAUUUUUAUUUUUAUUUUUAUUUUUAUUAGUACUCUCCACACCCAACAUGGGACUUGAACUCACAACCCCGAGAUCGAGAGCUCCAGGCUCCACCGACUGAGCCAGCCAGGCACCCCAGUUUUACUCCCCGGUGCAUUUGCCCAUUCACACAUACAAAGAUGGAAACGCCACUGACACCCACGGAAGACGCUGACGAUUCUCCCAAGCCAGGAAAGUCCUUGGAUCUCCGUCCCCUCUCUUGUGGAUGAACACACAUCCGCUCACCAGCCUCAGAUGCCUUUGCUCACUCUCGCCCACGCACUCUCGCACAUCCAGCACGAGCCCUCCUCCGCUUCCCCAAGGCUUCCUGGAUGUCGUCUGCCUAUGAGACCAUCGGGACCGAUUUCAGGAUGCCACCGCACAUCAAAUAUUUGAGAAAUAAGGCAAGAUGCCUGUUUGCACGCCUUGCGAGAAGCAGUGGUGAUGAGGGCGUCGGAAGGAAUCUGCGUGCCUAACAACGUGAUUGAAACUUGGGUUUCCGUGUCCCAGCCACUGGGUGAAUGACUUCUAGGAUCUGGGUACCAUAUGGCGAAGCCCUGAGCGGUAUUAAUCAGCACUGUUGUUCCCGUUUCCCUAGAUCUUUUCUGGCAAGAACUCCAGCGGUGGGGCCGGUGCUCGGUGCGGGGUGAACACGCAUAAUGCUGGACAUUUGCACAACUCUUGUCACGGGAUAUACGGUGCGUGGUCGAAGAUAUGCCCGUGGAGGGACACGUUCCCAGUUCAGUCCUUCACUCGCCCCUUCCCAGACUUCCCACGGAGCACGGAGGCACACAUAGGUCUGCCCCUGACGUUACCAAGUGCACCCUGAGUCUAUCCAUGCCGAGGACCUGCCUUAGAUAUUAAGGACAUAGUUCGGGUCACAAAACGCGGCUGACUGCCUUCAUGUGGUUCAUGGACCGAGGUGGGGAGAGAUGACCAGGCAGAACGUGCAGACUUGUCUUUCAGGCAAGGAGCGUAGAUAGUGAGGGCGGCGAGGGCCACCAAGAGGUUUUAAUCCAAGGCCGGAAGUGGUUCCUGUUGUGUCCCGGGAAGGCCACGCGGGCUGCAGUUUGGGGAAGAGACUGGGGGUGGGGGUGGAGGCGGGAGGCGGUAGCACUUUAGCGGUGUGUACGUUGUGAUGGAAGAUUUGGGGCCAUUUUCAAGCACAUAAAUGUAAGUGCCAAAGGUUAGCCGUAGACUGCAUUCAGUCAACUUGCACUUUUGCCUUUGUAAAACGUCAUCAUGUUUUCUGAAUGUUUUUCCGAGUAAAUAAGAAUCUGUUAUCGAAUUGGGGAAACGAACGUUUGGACUGGUAUUAGUGUGACUGGCGACUGGCAGAGGGCAUCGUUGGAUGGGACGAUCCCUCAAGGACGAUCUUCCUCCUCGGUUAUGGUUUUAUGACAUUAUGUCCUUGGAAGUGUAAGGGGAGGCCCUUGGGAUUGCACGCAGACCCAAGAGUAACCGUGAGUUGUCCUGUGGGGCCACAGACAUCUCACAUGUGCUGACUUAAUUCAGGUCAGUGGCUCUGCUGGAUCAGACUGCCGUCCCCAUUUCCUGAGGCGCAGGAAGGUCAAGUCUAUGUCACCGGUGUUGGACGUGCCCUUCAUCAGGCCACAAAUUCCCGUUGAAUGCGACUGGCAUUUGUCUCGUUCUUUUGCCUGUUUUGUCAUCCCGGGCUUCACCCCAGCUUCCUGCCUCCAUCUACCUCAGAGCAGGUGCACACGCACCUGCUCACGGAAGCCGCGAGCCUCCCUCUCAUCUUGUCAUGUUCCACCGGGAUUUCGAAAGUCCAUAGAAUGGCAGCCGCCGGGCGCUGGGGGAACGGGCUCGAAUCCCACCAUGGCCUUGGAGUCUCACUUUCCCCAUCUGUAAAAUGGGAGUGAUAAAAGUUCCUGUCCUGUAGCACCUCGGGGAAGAUGGCAGGCUGCGUGAUCCAGGAAGCACUCAGCUGGGACUUAGCUCUCGUAAAUGCCAUUAUGGGGUUUUUUAUUCCCCACCAAAAAAAAAAAAAAAAAAAAGACUCCAAGGAAGAGUUUGCUAAUAGGCCAAUUGAAAUGAAAAGAGUUCAUACCAUUUGUCCCAGGAAUUCCAGGAUUCGAAACCCGUGGAUAUACUCAAAUAGGGCCAAUAUUCGAGAAGGAUGGGCAGGAGGACCAUCAUGGUGGUGGAAACGUAGGAAGGUUUCCACACCAGUUGGCCAACAGCUGCUUCCCCGAGCCGGUCCAUCCUGGGCCGCCACCCAGGCUGCCUUCGCCUCUCCCCGGAACCAUCCGGAACUUCCCAGCAUCUGGGGAUUGAAGGGUUAUCUUGGGCUUCACGGGGGACCCCAAGACCCUGCCCCCACCCCCACCGACUGCCAGCCACCCUCAGAUUGGUGUUGGCGAGAGCCCUGACCUGCCCUCACCUUGAAGCUGUGUCCCCACAGACUCAAGGGCGUUUCCACAUUUCCUUUGCCUCUUUGCAUGUUAUUUGCUUCAUGGGACAAAUCUGGAAGUGGCCUAAAUGCUUCAUUAAAUAAAUUAGGACGUGUCCCUCCUCAUCAAAUACCGUGCGGCCUUAUAAAAAACAAUGAGUCGGCUCUAACAUGCAGAGAGUAAAGGCGGCCGGGAUGUAUGUUCAGCGACCGAGGCGGGUCACCUCUGGGUGUACCUUGUGUAAUUCCCCUUAUGCAAAAUCAACUGUGCAGACAUUUACGGGUGACCAUAUCUACAAAGAACACGCAACGUGCUUAAAGUGAAUGUACAUCAGCAUUCAACUUCUGUCGUGUGCUAUUAUUCAGAAAAACAAAGUAUCGCUAGAACAAAGACCGUAUUUCCCAAUCUGCUGCUGUACAUCAAAAAUGUAAAUACAGCCCGCAUAUGCACAUAGGCUUACAGACUUUAUAUUUGCAUCGACGGUUGGUGCGCAGAACGUUCCUGUGUUUUUGAGAAACUGGGAGCAACUGGGACCUUCCAGGGAGUAGAGCUCAGAUGCAGGCUUCAGAGAAGAUUGCAACCAACCGCCCCGGAGCAUUCAGGGGCUGCAGCCGUGAACGCGUCAGCGCAGAAAAGGAGGGGAGGUCUCUACUGGAUGAAUAAAUACGGGAUUCUUUCAGGAUGAGAAGGCCCGCACCAAGCCCAGGGCGGGUGGAAGGGUGAGCCCUCAAGGAGCUCCAGGCUGGUACAAGUGGGUCUGUUAAACUGGCUCAAGCUACGGGCACCUGGGUGGCUCAGCGGGUUAAGCACCCAACUCUUGAUGUGGCUCAGAUCAUCCGAGGGCUUGUGAGUUCGAGCAGCCACGUCGGGCUCUGAGCUGACAGCGCAGAACCUUCUUGGGAUUCCCUCUCUCUCUCCCUGUCUCUCUGCCCCUCCCCUGCUUGCAUGCACAUGGUCUCUCUCUCUCUCUCAAAAUAAACAAACAAACAAAAAAGUGUACAAGCUGUCUUAUAACAAUCCCUACUUUGUAUCGAACACCUACUCUGUUCCAGGCCCAGAUCUAAGGCUUUUCUUCCAUUAAUUCACCUCCAACCACACCUUCCAGUGAGACACACACUACGUUAUUUCACUGAGUCUAGGAUAUAUAUUUUUGGCUUUGUAACUAGAGUUAGCAGACAAAAUGCAGGACUGCAAUUGAAUUGGAAAUGCAGAUAAAAGUUGCAUAAUUGCUUAGUGUAGGUAUGCACCGAGUAGCAUGCCCCAAAUGGGAUUAAUUUAUCCUAAAACAUGGUUCGUUUCUUUAUCUGAAACUCAAAUUUAAUUGGAUGUCCCAUAUUUUACCUGGCCACUCUACUGAUAACACUUCUAAAGUCUAUAUAACUCUUAGAAUCAGUGGGCUGUUUAUAAUCAGUAACAUUGUUUUCUUUCUUUGCGGUUCAUACAAUAACGUUGCUUUUCAGUGGCUUCUCGGAUUGGAGGACAUGUGACAUCGUUAUCCCCAGUUGACAGAUGCUCAGACUGAAACUCGCGGAAGUUCACUCACUUCUGCAAUGGCACAACCUCCACAAAGCCAACGGUGCAGCCGGGACUUGAACACGGGUUCUAGGAGCCACACGUAACUACUGUGCUUCUAAGCAGGGAGCCAGUAGGAGCCUAAUGUCAAAGAGCAGGUAACACUGGAUGGUUAGGAGCGCUUUGUUACAUUUCUGGUAUCUUUCUUUUUGCUCAAAAUUCCAUAGGGCAAUUUUUGACCUGUACCUUUAUUUUUCAGUUUAUUUAUUUUGAGAGAGAGAGAGAGAGAGA